UUGCAAGUGUUGACAAUGACAGGAGCAUACGUAGAAGAAGACCUUGUUCUUGGUCUCAUUCAAUUUUUUGCUGGCAUGACAGAACUCCAUACAUACAUUGUGCAGCAGCUUUAUGUUGCUCUCAGUGGUGACAUUAGCCAGCAAUCCCUUGUUCAAAUUGGUGUUUGGUGUAUUGGUGAGUAUGGUGAUCUGCUAUUGCUGGGACCAACUCAGGGAGAAGAGGCUAUUGAGGUGAGUGAGUCUGAUGUGCUCAAUGUAUUGCAAGCUGUAUUGGAGAGUCCUCAUUCAUUGCCAACUUCCCUUAACUUUUGCUGUGACAAGCGUUAUGAAGCUCAGUACCAGAUUCACACAGACAGUAG